GACGAAGGGGGCUAGCGUUGUUCGGAAUUACUGGGCGUAAAGCGCGUGUAGGCGGUUGUUCAAGUCAGGUGUGAAAGCCUUGAGCUCAACUCAAGAAAUGCACUUGAUACUGGAUGACUAGAGGACCGGAGAGGAUAGUGGAAUUCCCAGUGCAGUGGUGAAAUACGUAGAGAUUGGGAAGAACACCAGUGGCGAAGGCGGCUAUCUGGACGGUUUCUGACGCUAAGACGCGAAAGCGUGGGGAGCAAACAGG
rnacentral:rRNA from 1 species